UAAACCUACAAACACAAUAGAACAUUAUUUUCUCUAUAAAUCUAGGUGCAACAUACUGUCUAGCUUUCAGAAAAGUCUUCAUAUCUGAAAAUUCAAAUUAUUUCAUUUUAAGGACUGUUAGUCACUGUACAAAAAGCACAAAUGAUGUCCUUUAGAUAGCCAGUUACAGUCAACAUAUUCUUGGUGUUUGAAAAUGGACAAAUUACUAAAAGCUUUUAUUGAACUGUGAAAAAUUCUUCCCUGAUUUUUUUCCUUUCUUUUUAAUUAAGUCACAAGGUUUAUCCCACAUAUGCUUCUACAACAGUCACUAAGCAAAAGGAUCACCUCUGGACAAAUGGUUUAAUGCAUCUAGGAAGAGAAUGAACAGUGUAUGUCUAAAGCCUUCCUACAGGUGCAAUUCAUGAAGUAGAAAAGCAAUUUGAAUCUAAGGAAACCUCCCACAAACAAGGCAGAUCCUUCUGUAUCUUCACAUCCUACUCUGACUUCAGGUAUAAGAAUUCAAUUUCUGUGAUGUGUAAUGGAACUGUGACCAUCCAUCUGCUGAACAGAAUCUCCUAUUCCAUUAUUGCAGUUGUCACAACAGUACUAUGAGAAAACUUCUUUACUUCACUGGAAAGAAGAUAAUCUCUAAUGUUUGUUUUGUUUUCCCCUAAAAUGAAUGAAAGGCAACAUUUAGCUAAAAAUUGAAAAAGAUGUCUCAACUCAGAAGCUUCAGUCAGUCUUUGUUUUGUUUCAGUUUUGUUUUUUUUUUUAAACAGGCCUAUUUCCCCAUAAUUGUAUAUUUCUCAAAUGCUGAAGCACUUAUUAAAAAAAUGUUUUCUGGGAGGGGACGUAGUGGUGGUGCUGUGUGUAGGUUGGAGACUAAAACACCUAUAUCAUAAGUAGCAUGGAGUGUAAAGCUAAUUACUUUUUAUAUUUUUGUGGUGAGCAAUUCCGGUACAAAAUUUUUACUGUAAUACCCCAAGACACAGUCAUGCUCUUAUGAAAUCUUUUAAAAUGGAGUUUGAAAUAGUAAGUACAUGGAAAAGUAAGAGUCUUACUUUUGGGAGGCUAGCAGGUGUUCUCAAUUUUGUUCGAGUGCUUUUCAUCAAUGCUCGCUGCUCAGUUGGUAGCAAGUGAUACUUCAUAGCUUCAAUGAGGUAAUCUUUACAAGCACUGCUGUUCUUAACCAAUAUUUCUUCUUCAACUCUCUG